UACGUAGGGCGCAAGCGUUGUCCGGAAUUAUUGGGCGUAAAGAGCUCGUAGGCGGCCUGUUGCGUCCGCUGUGAAAUCCCGGGGCUCAACCCCGGGCCUGCAGUGGAUACGGGCUGGCUGGAGGCAGGCAGGGGAGAACGGAAUUCCUGGUGUAGCGGUGAAAUGCGCAGAUAUCAGGAGGAACACCGGUGGCGAAGGCGGUUCUCUGGGCAGUAACUGACGCUGAGGAGCGAAAGCGUGGGGAGCGAACAGG
rnacentral:rRNA from 1 species